rnacentral:misc_RNA from 1 species
GUAGGUGAACCUGCGGAAGGAUCAUUAACACGUCCUAGCACGUUUUAAAAAAACAUUCCACACCACUCUCUGUGAACCCUUUUUAUAAUUCAAAAUACAAUGAAUUUAUUUUUAUUGUAUUUUCUUUUUUAAAACCCCUUUUAAACUUUUUGACUCUCCCUCAACCCCCUAGUUGACUGAUCAAAAAAUAUAAUAGCAUCAUGUUUAUUCAUGUGUGUUGUUGUGAUGGUGAGUCUUUUUUAUAGGACUU